AGGUAAUUAGUUUAAGAAAAACAUUUGAUUUCGGCUCAAAAGCUUGUGGUUAAAUUCCACACUCACCUA
rnacentral:tRNA from 2 species